rnacentral:sRNA from 1 species
CAACUAUUGAAAGGAGGUGAUCUGGUGUCUCAUUGUCGCCAUCUACGGUCGUCAGUGUCGGUCAGCUGGAUCUUCGCCUCUGGCGGAGUUUGCACCGCGUAAGCGAUGUCUGCUGCUCCGAUCAGGCCGUGGUCUGACAAUGGAAGGGCUGUCCUUCGGGGCAGCCCU